rnacentral:misc_RNA from 1 species
AAGUCAUAACAAGGUUUCUGUAGGUGAACCUGCAGAAGGAUCAUUAUUGAAUUGUAAAAAUGGGGAGUCGCUUUCGAGCACUCCUCUACAUUCUUUAUUCCUAACACCUGUGAAUCGUUGCUGAGUUCGCUCAGUGGCACCUUUUUAUCACACUAUUAGUUUUGAACGUUAAAAAACAAAAAAAACAAAAAAUAUAA